UACUCCUACGGGAGGCAGCAGUGGGGAAUAUUGCACAAUGGGCGCAAGCCUGAUGCAGCCAUGCCGCGUGUGUGAAGAAGGCCUUCGGGUUGUAAAGCACUUUCAGCGGGGAGGAAGGCGGUGAGGUUAAUAACCUCAUCGAUUGACGUUACCCGCAGAAGAAGCACCGGCUAACUCCGUGCCAGCAGCCGCGGUAAU
rnacentral:rRNA from 1 species